AAAAGAAAGAGAAAGAGAAGAAGAAAAAGAAAGUCAUGAAAAAUUCCCAAGUUUCUGCUCUAGUUUUCAUGUUGGUUCUUCUUUUCUCUGCAGGAAAAGAGGUGGUAGCGACGGAAACUGGACACACCUGCACUGAAGAAAUAAAAUUGCCAAGUUGGAAAAUACCAGAUUGCUCGAGUUUAUGUAAGACACGCCAUGGAGAUGAAGCCACCGGAGUUUAUUUUAGGGGCGGUUGCUUAUGCUCCUACCCUUGCCUUUCUUCUUUUAUUUAUUAAUGUUUGAUGUGCCAAAAUCCCACCAAUAAAACUCACAUCUCUUCUAUUGCUCUUAA